AAGGUGUCUAAAAUAGACGUAAAAGGGAAUCUGGUGUAAGUCCAGAACUGUACCCGCAACUGUAAGUGCGACGAAAUAAGGAAAACCACUAUCUUUUAGAUGGGAAGGCCUUAAAGUAGGAAGAAGCACGAGUCAGGAGACCUGCCUUUUUUA
rnacentral:ncRNA from 1 species